rnacentral:rRNA from 1 species
CAGCAGCCACGGGAAUACGUAGGUGGCAAGCGUUGUCCGGAAUUAUUGGGCGUAAAGGGCUCGCAGGCGGUUUCUUAAGUCUGAUGUGAAAGCCCCCGGCUCAACCGGGGAGGGUCACUGGAAACUGGGGAACUUGAGUGCAGAAGAGGAGAGUGGAAUUCCACGUGUAGCGGUGAAAUGCGUAGAGAUGUGGAGGAACACCAGUGGCGAAGGCGACUCUCUGGUCUGUAACUGACGCUGAGGAGCGAAAGCGUGGGGAGCGAACAGGAUUAGAUACCCCAGUAGUCCCUGUCUCUUAUAC